rnacentral:rRNA from 1 species
UACGGGGGGGGGGGCAAGCGUUGUUCGGAAUUACUGGGCGUAAAGGGCUCGUAGGCGGCCAACUAAGUCAGACGUGAAAUCCCUCGGCUUAACCGGGGAACUGCGUCUGAUACUGGAUGGCUCGAGUUUGGGAGAGGGAUGCGGAAUUCCAGGUGUAGCGGUGAAAUGCGUAGAUAUCUGGAGGAACACCGGUGGCGAAGGCGGCAUCCUGGACCAACACUGACGCUGAUGAGCGAAAGCCAGGGGAGCAAAGCGGG